AACUGUUGCUUGUCCGAUGUAACUUGUGAACAAUUGAGAAACACAUGCAACUUUUUCUUAUAGGUUGAACUUGUGAUCAAUUGUGUAGGUUCAUAGUCUCUGACUAAUUGAAAAGUCUCAACUCCUACCUUCAUAGGCAAAACUAUUUAUGCCUACAACUUAUGUCUAAUGGGUAACCAAAGUUCUGUGGAUUUUCUUAAGCAGGGGGUCCUUUUUUAUACAGUUUUGUUAGAGGGGCCAAAAGUUCAAGACCACCCCUUAUGGAUAUUAUUCUUGCAAAUGAACCUGCGGAACACCAUACCCACACACAUUUUGUGGACAAUUAGGAAGGACUAUAACCACAGAUCUUCACGGGGAACAGUAAAAAGUUCCUAGUCUCAGAUCUUUGCCGUCUAUUCAUUUCAGUCACUGGUGGGAGAAAUAAUGGGAAGACUGCCCUCAUAAAUUCACUAGAUAUGUCUCCAUCGCUAAUUUCCACACAAUUACUUCUUCAGCAAAUGCUUAAUCUUUUUUUUCUUUUUCUCCUUUCUUAUCUGUACUCCAGCAAGACAAUUUAUGUUUUUCUAGUAUAUAUAUCAGUAUUUAAUUUAUCCUGUG